GGAAGUAAAGUCGUAACAAGGUUUCCGUAGGUGAACCUGCGGAAGGAUCAUUAAUAAAUGUCUACGUUUUUUAAGUAGACGCUUAAUAAUCCUACCUUUGUGAAUUUGUUUGUUUGAAAUAAUUUUUUUAAAUUAUUGAAUGUCCUUCCUGUUGAAUUGGUUUGUCUUAAUGGCAAAUGAUUCGCAGGGAGUGUCAGUAAUUUUUAAAAAGACCUUUUUUUAAAUUAAACUUCUUGUAUUCAUUUGUCUAAAAUUAUUUUAUAUAAAACAACUUUUGACAAUGGAUCUCUUGGUUUCGCAACGAUGAGAACGCAGCAAAUGCGAUAGUAGUGUGAAUUGCAGAUACGUGAUCAUCGAAUCUUCAAACAUAUUGCACUUUUUAGUUUACUAAAAAGUAUGUCUGUUUGAGUAUCAGUAAAAUAUUCUCAUAAAACUUUUUGUUUUAUGUUAUGAGUGUUUACAACGAUACAAGUUGUUUCACUUAAAUUUUUUUAAAAUUUGAAUUUUCUAAUUUAAAAUAAAAUUGGAUAAAAUUUCCCGUAAAAAGGAAUAACCUAAACAAUUUUAAUUUUGAUUAGAAUUCUUCAAUUAUAAAGGAAAAUUAACUAAAUACUUGAUCUCAAAUCAGAUAAGAGUACCGCUGAACUUAGCAUAUCAAUAAGCGGAGGAAAGAACUAACAAGGAUUCCUUAGUAACGGCGGGUGAAGCGGGAAGAGCUCAAAUUGAAUCUUCAAGGUUUUACCUUGACGAUUGUAGUUUAAGAAGUGUUUCUGUUGAGUUUGGUAAAGUUCUUUGGAAUAGGACAUCAUAGAGGGUGAGAUCCGUAUUUGACCAUUAUUUCAGCUGUGUGAUACACUUUCAAAGAGUCGGAUUGUUUGGAAUGCAGUCCAAAUGGGUGGUAAAUUUCAUCUAAAGCUAAAUAUUGGCGAGAGACCGAUAGCGAACAAGUACCGUGAGGAAAGAUGAAAGAACUUGAAAAGAGAGUUAAACAGUACGUGAAAUUGUCAAAAGGAAGCGUUGACACCAGUGUUGUUUUCUCGAAAUCAAUAAAAAGAGUUGGAUUUGUGUUGUAUUGACCUUAACAGCUUGCCCAUCUUUCUUGCUUUUUAAUGCACUUUCGUUUAACAAGUCAACAUCAGUUUCUUGUUGUAAAAGGUCAUUGGAAGUGCCUUUCUCUUCGGAGAAAGUGUUUAUAGCCUUUGAUCUCGCAAUCGGAGAGACUGAGUUGCAGCG
rnacentral:misc_RNA from 1 species